ensembl:snoRNA
AAGACUAUACUUUCAGGGAUCAUUUCUAUAGUUCCUGACUUGAGAAAUGUGUUUCUAAAGUGUUUGGUCUCGCUAACCACGAUGAUGAGUCGUGAUAUUUCCUUCUGAGCGUGAAGCUGACAGAGAAUAAUGAUUCAGUUCAUAUGUUCUCUGUCAUUGAUGACCGUUCAUUGUUUCCUAGAGGAGCAUUGAGGAAGGGAAUAUGUUCAGAGUGGUA